UACGUAGGGUGCAAGCGUUGUCCGGAAUUAUUGGGCGUAAAGAGCUUGUAGGCGGUUUGUCGCGUCUGCUGUGAAAUUUCGGGGCUCAACCCCGAACUUGCAGUGGGUACGGGCAGACUAGAGUGUGGUAGGGGAGACUGGAAUUCCUGGUGUAGCGGUGAAAUGCGCAGAUAUCAGGAGGAACACCGGUGGCGAAGGCGGCUUCCUGGACCGACACUGACGCUGAGGCGCGAAAGCUAGGGGAGCAAACGGG
rnacentral:rRNA from 1 species